rnacentral:sRNA from 1 species
UAACUCAACAACCAACGUCGCACAUACACCGUCACAUGUGUUUUGGGUGCCUUGAAAUCCUCGCGGAUUCGGGGUUAAACCAUGGGGUGUGUGGAGGCUUAAC